rnacentral:rRNA from 1 species
CUGCUGCCUCCCGUAGGAGUUUGGACCGUGUCUCAGUUCCAAUGUGGGGGACCUUCCUCUCAGAACCCCUACGCAUCGUCGGCUUGGUGGGCCGUUGCCCCACCAACUACCUAAUGCGCCGCAUGCCCAUCCGUGACCGGGGUCGCCCCCUUUGGCCGGCAGGGGAUGUCCCCUCCCGGCAUUAUGUUGUAUUAGGCGGGAUUUCUCCCGGUUAUCCAUCUGUCACGGCCAGGUUGCAUACGUGUUACUCACCCGUGCGCCGGUCGGCCCGGG